rnacentral:rRNA from 1 species
UGGGGAAUUGUUCGCAAUGGGCGCAAGCCUGACGACGCAACGCCGCGUGGAGGAUGAAGGUCUUCGGAUUGUAAACUCCUGUUGAUCGGGACGAAAAGCUUCAACCUAAUACGUUGAAGACUGACGGUACCGGUUGAGGAAGCCACGGCUAACUCUGUGCCAGCAGCCGCGGUAAUACAGAGGUGGCAAGCGUUGUUCGGAAUUACUGGGCGUAAAGGGCGCGUAGGCGGCCUCCUAAGUCGGACGUGAAAGCCCCAGGCUUAACCUGGGAACUGCGUCCGAUACUGGGAGGCUUGGAUUCGGGAGAGGGAUGUGGAAUUCCAGGUGUAGCGGUGAAAUGCGUAGAUAUCUGGAGGAACACCGGUGGCGAAGGCGGCAUCCUGGACCGAGAUCGACGCUGAGGCGCGAAAGCUAGGGGAGCAAACGGGAUUAGAUACCCUGGUAGUCCCUGAGCGGGCUGGCAAGGCGCAU